rnacentral:misc_RNA from 1 species
AAAUAAAGAAAAAUUAUAGAAUACUUCUUAUGCACUAGUUUUUACUGCACUAUACACACAAGACUUAUGUCAGUUAUUCCAGAUUUCAAUCAGUUAUCCCAUAAAUUGUAAGAAGUAAAUCCAAUCUCAUUGUGAGAAGAGUCGUCUGAGAAGCCUAAGAAAACCUCUAUAAAGUAAUAUUACUUUUUUCUAAACAGCGAAGUGACUAUAGAACCCAUUCAAAUUUGGUUGUAAUUGCUUCAAACAUUGUUAAUAUCGAACGUUAGAAAUUGAAACCAAUUGGGACUUCACUUUCCAGGUACAAAAUGCAAUUUCAUUUUCUUUUCCAUUUCUUUUUUCCAAAAUAGCGACUUUGAAAAUUAAUCUUCACUUCAAUUUUCUUCAAGGAUAGCAAUUGUACGAUCAGUAUACAAUUGAAGGGGAAACUCGUUUGGGUUGCCUAUCUUGAUAUUUAUAUGAUACUCCGGCAAUGAAUGCCCCCCAAAAACCACAGCAAGAAAGCCAUUGUCUUGGCAGGAAUAUAAAAUCUAUCUCCGUUCCAAAAUCAGAGACUACUUUGGCAUGAGGAGGCUGUCUAUCAUGCAAGAACAGGGCUUAGACCAGAAGAGGGUUGUAAACUAGCAGCAUAGUCUCGUGCCCACAAGUCAUAAUGUAUAAUUUCCUCGAGAGAGGGUGAGGUCACCAAUUCUGCCCUAUGUUUAUCACAAGUUAGCUCCACAAUCUUGAAAAUAUCAAGAUAGCUGAUCCUGAAAAGAGAGGCAAGUUAUGCAUUAGCUAAAGAUUCUCAAGCCCAGUAUUCUAGCACACUGUUUGCCAUUGAUGUAAAAAGCAAGCAAACAAGAUUAAAUAAAGCUGACGCAAAUCCAGAUGCAUCAAAUAAUAUAGUCCAGCCUCUCAAUAUACCCACUACUACAAUCUAACACUAUUUUUCAAGACACAUUCACCAAUUUAUAGUAUUAUACCAUACUAAGCCAGGCGUCCAAAAUAUGGCAAUUCAAGCAACUAUUAAAUUAUGUUUCCUAAAUGUUCGGUAGUAAAAUCAGUAAGUUGAAAUUUUGUCAUCCCUGAUCAAUCUAUUUCAUUGGAUGCAUAUUAACAAGUCUAAUGAAAGUGAAGCACUAGACUUGGUGAUCAAGCCAUAAUCUAAAGCUAGUGUAAAGUGAUAAUGAAUCUCUUAAGAAUUUUCUCCAUGAUAUAAUCUCUUCAGAAGUUUUUCUCCUCAUGCUAUGCCAGCAAAAGGUUGAAAUAACAAUUUUUAUGAUUUCCAAACAGAUAAUUAGUAAGCAAUAAUAAACAUACUUUUCAUCUAUGAACAUCUCUACAGCUUUCUCAUUAGCAGCACUAAGCACUCCGGUCAUGGUGCCUCCAGCCCGACCAGCAGCAUAGGCAAGAUCCAUGGAUGGGUAUUUUACAUUGUCAGGAGCUUUAAAUGUUAGAGACCCAAGCUUGCAAAGAUCAAGGCGAGGCCAGGUUAUUUCAGAGCAGUAUAUUCUCUCGGGCCAUGACAUAGUGCAUAGAAUUGGUAGGCGCAUAUCAGGCCACCCCAGCUGUGCAAGAACAGAUGAAUCCUGUGUUUCAACCAUUGAAUGUAUUAUAGAUUGUGGAUGAAUUACUAUCUCAAUAUUAUCAUAGUCAGCUCCAAACAAAUAAUGGGCUUCAAUGACUUCUAAGCCCUUAUUGAAAAGGGUAGCAGAGUCCACAGUAAUCUUUUUCCCCAUAUUCCAAUUAGGAUGCUUUAAAGCAUCAGCUACUUUAACUUCUUUCAAUUUAUCAACAGGCCAAUCCCUGUCAGCAACCAAGUGCUCAAAUAGUUAAACUCAGUUUCUUCAAAAUUUAACAAUGGUUGGAAUAGAAGUUCAAGAUAUCCAGAAUCAGCCAUGAAAACAGAAGACAGUUCAGUUGUUUAGCAGUAAACAAAUUUAAUAUCCAUAGCCAUUACAAAACUAUAUGAUAGUCUAAACGGUUUUUAAAUUGAAAAACAAACAUAAAUAGAAGAGACGUUAACAUCUAAUAUUUUUGUGAUGUCAAUUUAGUUGCCUCUGCAUUUAAGACUAAAAUAAUAUGAAGAGUGCAUCAUAACAGGUUUUUAAGCAAAUAAAUCUCUCCAAAUUAUCAACAAACCUAUAUCUUUAGAGUAAUAAUGCCCUAUCAGCAAAGGCAAAUAGAAGAACUAACCUGAGGCAGAAAAUUAAUGUUCCCCAUGUAGACUUAAAUUAAAAGCUUAAAGAUCACAGUAUAAAUUAUGACUUCACACCUGAAAGCUCCACCAGAAGCAGUUAAAAUAAUACGCCGCAGUGCACCAUCUGGCAGGCCUUGAAUACACUGAAAUACGGCAGAAUGUUCUGAAUCAGCUGGAAGAAUUUUUACGUUAUAUUUGUGAGCCAGAGGAAGGACAAAAGGACCUCCAGCGAUUAACGUCUCUUUAUUGGCCAAGCAUAUAUCUUUUCCUGCUUCUAUGGCAGCAACAGUAGGCUUUAAGCCUGCACAACCUACUAUUCCCGUAACUACACUGACAGCAUCUGGAUGGCGAGCAACCUCAACAACACCUUCCUCCCCAGGAAUAAUCUCAGGCUUUUCUUCAAGAUCAGCCAAAGCGUCCUUGAGUUCAUCAGCUAACGACUCAUUCCUAACAGCAACAAGUUGAGGUUUGAAAGUCUUCACCUGAUCAGCAAGAAGAGUAACAUUUGAACCAGCUGCGAGUGCUACAACUCUGAAUUUACCUGGAUUCUCUGCUACGAUGUCCAAAGUCUGAGUCCCGAUGGAGCCAGUGGAUCCAACGACUGAAAUAGGCUUUGGACCAUCCCAAGUCUUACGACCUGGCUCUGGAAAAGCUCUUCCUGGCCAGGCUGGUGGAGGAGGCUGGGCCGAACACUGCACUUUCCUCCCAAAUGCUGCCCCAAAAUCCUUCCUCUUCAGACUGAUAACACCUGGAAACUUAGGAAGGUGGUUGGACUUGGUGGAAUCUAAGAAGGAAAUGGCCUUGAUUUCAGCAGGGGAAAGCAAAUUAAGCUCCAUGGAAUUAAGCAAAGCAAACAGAAAAAUUUCAGGUGGAGAUGACAGAAGAAGGAUAGGCGAGUUGGCAGGGAGAAGCUGGAGCCUGGAUC